rnacentral:rRNA from 1 species
CCUACGGGUGGCUGCAGUGGGGAAUAUUGGGCAAUGGGCGCAAGCCUGACCCAGCAACGCCGCGUGAAGGAAGAAGGCUUUCGGGUUGUAAACCUCUAUUGUCAGGGAAGAAGAAAGUGACGGUACCGGACGAAUAAGCGACGGCUCACGACGGGCCAGCAGCGGCGGUAAGACGUCGGUGGCAAGCGUUAUCCGGAUUUACGGGGUGUAACGGGCGUGUAGGCGGGGAAGCAAGGCAGAGGUGAAAACCCCGGGCUCAACCUGUGGCCUGCCUUUGAAACUGUUUUUCUUGAGUGCUGGGGCGGCAAUCGGAAUUCCGUGUGUAGCGGUGAAAUGCGUAGAUAUCCGGAGGAACACCAGUGGCGAAGGCGGCUUGCUGGACUGUACCUGACGCUGAGGCUCGAAAGCGUGGGGAGCAAACAGGAUUAGAUACCCUUGUAGUC